GCCCUUUGACGAUCACAGAGCAAAGAGUACCAACGAAGGUAUUUUUUCUUCUUUUUUUUUUUCGAUUUCCUACAUCUUUCUUUUUUCUUUUUCUUUUUUUUUGCUUUUUUUUUUGUAGGUCAAGAAAAGAAAAGUCGUUGAGUGCUAAGUUGACGGGCAACUCCAUGACUUCCCAUAUAAGAAUAAUUCAUCAUGAUAUAUAGAUGAUUAGAUCUGCAACAACAUAUAGAAGGUCAAAUCCCUUGCAACAUAUAGACGAGCAAAUUCACAUCAACAUAUAGGCAGAUAAAUCCACACCAACAUAUAGACGGACAAAUCUCCAUCACCAUAUAGACGGACAAAUCCAUAUCAAUAUAUAGACGGACAAAUCCACAUCAACAUAUAAACGGACAAAUCCACAUCAACAUAUAAACGGACAAAUCCACAUCAACAUAUAGACGGACAAAUCCCCAUCACCAUAUAGACGGAUAAAUUCACAUCAACAUAUAGAUGGACGAAUUCUCAUCACCAUACAGACGGACAAAUCCAUAUCAACAUAUAGACGGAUAAAUCCAUACCAACAUAUAGAAGUAUCAAAUCCAUGAAGAGGCCGACUUAAGGUGCAAAGGGAUUUAAACGUCCACCUUAAGAUUGGAAAAUUAUAGUUCCUUUCAAGGACAAACCCACUAAGAGGCCAACUUAAGGUGUAAAUGGACUUAUAUGUCCACCUUAAGAUUGGAAAGUUAUAGUUCUUUUUAAGGACAAACCCACAAAUAGGCCAACUUAAGGUGCAAAGGGACUUAUAUGUCCACCUUAAGAUAGGAAAAUUAUAAAGCUUCAACUCGAAGACUUCAUGGACUUGAUGACGUCGACUUGAAUACUUGGAAAACUUUGAAGAUUCGGCGGACUUUGCAGACCUCAAUUUGAAGACCGACAAACUUGAAGAUUCGGCGGACUUAAUCUGAAAAAUUUGAGGGCUCAAAUACUUCCACUUAAACACCGACGCUUUUUGAGGACCUCAACUUGAACACUUCAACUUGGAGACCUAGAGGGUUUAGAUACCUCAACUUGAAGGGUGGCGAACAAGAAGACUUCAACUUGAAGACCGACGGACUUGAGGAUUUCAACUUGGAGACUUCGAGGGCUUAAACAACUCAACUUGAAUUCUGGUGAACUGAAGGACUUCAACUUAAAGGACGGUGAACUUGGAGGGCUUGAAUACUUCAACUUAAAGCUGGCGGAUUUGCAGACUUCAACUUGAAGACCAAAAAUUUGAAGGCUUGGUGAACUUGAAGGCAUAACGAAUCACCAGGCUUCAUUGCACAUGCUUGAUAUCCUCCUAAAAGACUAUAAUCAUUCCAUUGAAGACACCAAUUUAUCAUGGAAGCUUUCCUCUUUUAAAUCAAAUGUGAUCAAAGUUCAACAGAAGGAUGGUGUUUCAGCUUGAUUUUACAUUCCUCCAUACUUCACUCGGAAAACAAUUGGGGUAAUAUGUAUCUUUUGAACUUAUGCGACUGAACUUAGAAUGAAACUCUAAACUGCCUACGUACCUCGGUGAAGAGAAUCAAGUCAUAUCGUAGUUCAGACUGGGUAAUUUAAUUUUUUUUAUUUUUUUUAUGUCCUAACUUUUGUCUAGGCCGCCUCUUUCGAAGUUUUCAACCUAGCGGACUCUUUUUUUUGGGGCCGUACACAGUUUAAACUCAUGCGGGCCAAGAGUGUAGCAAUAUGCAGUUUAGGCUCGUGCGUCAAGGAGCGUUGCAACUUCAAGGAUAAUACUUCUUUAAAAACUUGCCAUUGAUAGGGCCGAUUCUCAUGCCAUCUGCAUCAACCAACUUGUAAGCCCCACUUGAGUAAGCUUCUUGUACGACGUAUGGACUAUCCCAUUUUGAAGUGAACUUCCCUACAGGUUUAUGGGAAGUAAUUAUGGGUCUUCGUACGACAAGGACUUGAUCUCCUACUUGAAAGGAUCUAGGGCGAACUCUUUUAUUGAAGGCGUGAGAUAAUCGAGCUUGAUAACAUUCAAGACUCUAUUGAGCGUCCAACCUCUUCUCAUUAAGAGCCUCCAACUCAGCUAACCGAAGUCGAGCAUUUUCUUCAUCAGUGAUCCCUUCUUAAAUAGCCAGUCGUAACGAAGGUAUUUGACGCUCAAGUGGCAAGACGACUUCGACUCCAUAAACGAGUGAAUAAGGAGUCGCCUGUGUUGGCGUGCGGUGAGUCAUCCUAUAUGCCCAUAGAGCUUCUUCCAUACGGUUAUUCCAAUCUCGGUUGGAUUUGGAGACGACUUUCUUUAACAAGUUGCGUAGAGUCUUGUUGAAUGCCUCAGCUAGACCAUUGGCGGCAACAUUAUACAUCGAAGAGUUACAUUGCUUGAAGCCAAAGAGAUCACAAAUCUUAUUCAUCAGCCUAUAAUCGAAUGGCUUUCCAUUAUUCGUUAUUAUGUAACGAGGAAUGCCAAAGCAAUAAAUAAUGUUUACUCAGAUGAAACUUGCAACAUUUUCCUUCUUGCGCGUACCCUAG
rnacentral:lncRNA from 1 species